rnacentral:lncRNA from 1 species
GUAGUAUACAGUGGUACCUUGGUUCUCAAACGCUGAAAACCCGAAAGUAAGUGUUCCCGUUUUUGAACAUUUUUCGGAAGCCAAACGUCCGAUGUGGCUGUUAGCUAUUGUUUCCGGGGCACCUGCACCAAUCAGAAGCUGCACCUAGGUUUUCAAACAUUUCGGAAGUCAAACGGAUUUCCAGAAUGGAUUAAGUUUGGUGCUUUUGUUUUUGCUAUUUAUUUUGCAUUUUUGUUUUUGAGGCUUUUCCAGUUAAUUCGUUUUUGUGACUGUGUGGAGCCCGGUUCAGCUACUGAUUGGUUGAUUGAUUGAUUGAUUAUGUGAAUGCAGAAAUGGCUAAAAGCCCCCCAUCCAAACAAUGACUAUCAUCAGUGCAGGUAAGAAAAUAAUAAUAAUUUUUAUCAUCUACUAUACUGUCUUAUUUAUUUUAUACUACGGUACAUUGAUUAUUGUUUUCAUUUUAUCAAUGGUCUUGUUAGAUAGUAAAAUUCAUGUUAGGUUUUUUUUUAAAAAAAGUUUGGAAUGGAUUAAUCCGUUUUGCAUUACUUUCUAUGGAAAAGCAUGCCUUGGUUUUGGAACACUUUGGUUUUGGAACGGACUUCCGGAAUGGAUAAAGUUUGAGAACCAAGGUACUACUAUAAUACCUGGCAAGGCAAAAUAAAAAUAGACCACUGCAUAAAUUAAUUUGCAGCAUUUAAAAUGCCUGCCCCUUUCUGUAGCAUCAAUGGGCAUCAUCUGCUGAGUAUCCUUAGCUGGAUAUAUAUUUUGCAGCACAAAUGUUAUUUGCAUACACUAAAGUGAAAAACAGCAUAUACAAAAUACGAACUGAAUAUUUUACAGUGUGGUCCUCCACUCUUGGGGAAUAUGUUGCCAACUAAUUAACGGUUUGGGUAUUGUCCAUAUGCCUCCGAUUGCUCAUUCUUUGCCAGUCUUUAUCUGCCUGGCAAUAAGCACAAAUCUUCACGUUGCUGCCCCCCCCCCCCAGAUUCAGAUAGGAGCCACUUGUUAAUUUAGUUUAGGAAUCUGGCAAAUAGGGUUAGACUCAUAUCAAUUCUCAUUAUGGCAGGGCAAUGCAUUGGAAAAGAGCUCAAAAUGAGGAUCCUUCUCAGUUAGAAAGCCCAACCUCAUUUUGAGUUGGUCCAGUACCCAUUGCAUUGGGCAUGGCUUGACAGGAGCUCAGAUCCUGCGCCACCAAUACCCAGACCUUCCUGCCAGACCCUUUCCCCAAGUCCUAUGGUUCCUCGAGGGAAAUAACACUUCACACCGAAGACUAGAAUAUUGGACUUGAAAUGAACUGACCUUGGUUGAAUGCUCUACUUCACCAUGUAAUUCACUGGGUUAGUUUAGGGAGGUCCCUAUCUCCCAACCUCUCAGGAUGAUUACAAGGAUAAAGUUACAUAUAGCUCCAUGUAUGACACCUAGAAGGAAUGGUGGGAUAGCAGUGAGCAACCCACCCAUCGAGAAUCCUUGCCAGUCUAAUCCACAUUCAAUUUAACUUGCUUUGACAUUCCUACUGAAAGUGUGUGUAUGUGUAUAUUAACUUGUCAUAUGCCGUCAGAUCGCGUAGCUCAGCGCUGUCUACGGUGAUUGGCAGAAGGUUCCCAAGGACUCCAGUAAAGGUCCUUCCUAGCCAUGCUACCUGAGCGUUUCAAGCUAGUUUUUGAACUUGACAAGGUCUACAUGCAAAUCAUGUAUUCUUGCUCCGAGCUUUGACCCCUCCCAGUUUUCCCACGGAGCAGGAUCCUUCAAUUUCACCUUAGAACUCAUUUUAGACAAAACUUGCUGGCAACUUCAAUUAAUCUUGGCUUGCUAUACUGGUGGAACGUAACAGAAAAUAUACUAUUGAUAUGGUGUUUUUUUCCUGGCCGGGCAACAACAAUUUCGCAUGCAGAAUAUGUUUUAAACUAGAAGUAUCAUGUUUAUUUGUUCUUGCUAAUGGUUUGCUGGAAUAAUUUUUUACUUCAUCUCUUGAAGAUUUUCAGGCUCAUCCUGUUAACUCUGACACCUCCCUUGCCAUGCCUCAUUGUGAUGAGAAGGAUGGAUGCAGUGCAUCCCCUUAACAAUCCGAUCCUUAAUGAUUUGCGUAAUGAAGAAAGUGAUUAAUUUUGACGGAUGGCCCAGAUCCAUCAUAUGCAUGACUAGGCGGUGCAAUAGCCUAUGGAGUACGUAGUAAUAUAAGUUGGAGCAAGGUCCAGAAUGACCUUGACAAAUUAGCAGCAGUGCGUUUCAUGCAGUACUUCUGCAGACCUGCCUGUAUGUAGAGAAAAGGCGUAGUUAGUGUAGACUGAGCCGGAAUACGGACAAAGAAAACAACAACAAGGUCCUUGUGAAAUGGGAUGUGUAAGGAUAUCAGGGGGUUACUUGAGAGCAAUCAGGCAAAUGCCUCCCUGGUCGGCUGUAAAGCCUCGUUAUUGGUGCCAAAAACCCUUCACCAUGCAGAGUGCCACUAUUCCGUGGCUUGCUCAUUCACUGGCAGAAUCUAUGAGUGGGUGGUCCUUAAACCUUCCCCAGCAGAGUAGUUUCCUGACGCCCAAUCUGCGCCUCCCCUCUCGGCGUGGAACCCUACUGCGCAGGGACGGUGUGGGCAACGGAGGACCUCUCUCCUCCCCGCUUUGCCCAGACAAGGUGUCCUGGCACCGCCUCGCCUCCUCCGAGCCCUGAAGCUCCUCUCCACUGGAGGCGUGGUUACUCUCCUCUGCUGAGGAAGUGCUGCUUCCCACUAUCUUUGGGGGCUCUCUGUAAUCCAUCCGACUUUCCCCCUCUUGCCCCUGAGCCGAUGGCAGUUCCCUGACAGGAUGUGUCAAAAGUGUUAGUAAAAACUAAACAGCACUUCUGUCGUGGGAUCCAGUUGUAUAUGCAUUACAUGGGUGCCCAAAUGAAUUCCAAGAUACCGGAAAAGCUUAAAACAAGAUGAUCCUUGAGUGCACACAUUUGGAAGUUAAAUAGUCUAAAGAGCAAUAAGGAACGCUUCAAAAUCAGCUUUUAAUGUAGCCCUCCCUUGACUUGUCACUCUCCAGUUGUUUAAGAGGACAGCUGCCAUUAGCUCUGGCUAGCAUGAACAUGGUCAAAGUUGAAGAGAGUUGUAAUCCAAAAUAUCCAGAGAGCAACAGGUCCUGGGGAAGGCUGUUUUACAGCAUAAUUCUAUAGGUGUCUACUCAGAAGUAAGUCCAAUGGAGCUUCCUCCUCGGUCAUAGGAUUGCAGCCUUAAUGUAUGUUGCAGACAAAUAUGUAACUGAUCUUGAGGAGGGGGACUUUCAGAAUUAGGUAUAAACAAAUGAAUGCCCCAAAAUGAUCUGUAUAUGUGUAUGCGUGCACAUUCAGUUUGUAUUCUAUAUUAAGCACAGAUGCACACACCUGACUGCUACUGAAAAUACCCGCAACCAAUUUAAGUGCAUUAAACCAAGGGAAGUAAGCAGCACAGUUCUAUAAGGGUCUCUCUGUAUUGGGACUGCUGCUACUUAAUGUCUGAAAAAUAUCUGGGGUCAGAGGUGAACAGUGAGGUAAUCAAGUUUGCAGAUUAUGCCAAAUUAUUCAGGACGGUGAACUCCUAAAUUGUCUGUGAAGGAUUCAAGGUGGAUCUCUCUAGACAGAAUGAAUGGGUAACAAAACGACAAACCAGUCAAUGCAAAUAAGUGCAAAUUUGCACACUUCAUAAAUGUCUUCUGUUUUAAAGCUUUCUGUACAUAAAUUACAGUAUGAAUCUGAACUCAAGGACCAUAAUCAAAGGAAUUUUUAGGCUUGAUGCAUAAAGACACAUGAAAUAGCUUUGAAAUCUUUCUCCAAUAAUUUGGGCAGGGAAACUGAAAUUAACUGUAUUUCAGCCAUCAACCACCCUUUUAUAUUGUGUUAGGCCGUAUGUAAUUACAAAUGAUGAUUUUUGUGAUAUCUACAUUUUUGUGAUAUGUUAAGCCUCCAAUUUAUCUGAAGUUGCACAUUUUACUCCUUUCAUGCUAAAGCAUCUCCUAUAAUCUAGUUUUGAACAGAAUUUUUCACGAGAGUUUUAAACAGGAUUUGAAGAAGACAAAACACAUGCUGCACUGUGAUCACAAUCAUGGAAAUAUCCAGUGUGGCAUACAGGUAAAGUAUUAGAGGAAUACAAACAGAACUAGCUGCAAUUUUAAUCCAUGAGAGGUUAUUCUAAAGGAAAAAUGUAGGCUCCCUUCCUUCAGUGGGGAGCCUUGGCUGGAUCCCAAUUCUCCACAAUCAGAAGGAAUCUUUCUAUUCAUGGAGGGAAAGUCUAGCUUCAACUUAUUUGCUUAUGCUGACCUUUAAAGCCCUAAACGGCCUCGGUCCAGUAUAUCUGAAGGAGCGUCUCCACAUCCAUCGUUCUGCCCGGAUACUGAGGUCCAGCGCCGAGGGCCUUCUGGCAGUUCCCUCACUGCGAGAACCCAAGUUACAGGGAACCAGGCAGAGGGCUUUCUCGGUAGUGGCGCCCACCCUGUGGAACGCCCUCCCACCAGAUGUCAAAGAGAAAAAUAACUACCAAUCUUUUAGAAGACAUCUAAAGGCAGCCCUGUUUAGGGAAGCUUUUAAUGUUUAAUAGGUUAUUGUAUUUUAGUGUUUUGUUGGAAGCAGCCCAGAGUGGCUGGAGGGACCCAGCCAGAUGGGUGGGGUAUAAAGAAUAAAUUAUUAUUAUUAUUAUUAUUAUUAUUAUUAUCUGCAGUCUUACAAUCUGGUAAAACACAGCACACAAGGAAAAGAAAUCAGAAGGAUAAGGGCUAAUGUACUAAAUGUGAAUUGGGUGUUUGUGACCUUCGAAGAAAAAUCAGAAAGGGAAAGCAAUACUGAAUAGAUCCAAUAAUGUCUUAAAUAAAAUGGGGUCUGAUCUGACGAGAAGGGUUAAAAACAUUACUAUGUUGGAGUUACCACGAGCAAGAGACAUUGUCAAGCUGGAGUUAUCACGAGGAGAUAAGGGAAAUUACAGCUAUAAGUAUGAAGAAGAGCCGCGGAAGGGCCAUGGAAGUGACCUGAGGGCCUCGGACAUAAGGUUACCGGGUUAGUCUGAUGGGAAUAAGGACUGACAAAUCCCGGAACCAAGAGGAAGGGAUGUUGGAUAAAGAUUGGACUUGUCUAUAUCUUUCUUUCUAUUUUUUUUUAUUAUCAGAAUGUUUUACAAAGUUGAUGAAUGAUAGGAAAAUGUUGGAAGAAAUUACCUGGCUUUAGUAAAGAUGCAUAAAGAAUUAUGAAAGAAUAUUAUGAUCACAAGAAGCUGGUAAGGUUAAGACUUAAGUCUUAAACUUUAAGGUUUAGUUUAUUAUAGAAAGAUAGGAUUAAGUUAGUCGAGGGUAAUGUAAUGAUAGAAUUUUUUGAAACAUGGAAAGGAAAGGAUUUGCUGGGAUAAUUAAUAACUAGAAUACAAAGGAAGGGAGGAGGAGGAGGUCUAAGAAAGAAGGCAAUGACAGUUAAGGGUCUGAAAAUAAUGAAUUUGUUUUGUUUUUUCUUUACUCUUUUUUCUGUAUUUUUUAUUUUCUUGUAUUUUGUAUUUUUACUUUUUGUAUUUUUACUUUUUGUAUUUUUACUUUUUGUUUUUGUUCUUGUGUAAUUCUUGUAUCCUUUGAAACUUUAAUAAAUAUCAUUAAAAAAAAAAUGAUGGGAAAAGCCAGUCGUGUUGGUGGUGGACCAGCAGAUUAUGCCGCAAGAUACGUAGAACAAAUCCAAGGAAUGAUGUAUGAGAGAUGAGGUUUGAAACAAAACUGAAUCACAGAGAGACAGAGAAGGUGUGUGAAGAGAAAGCAGAGCUGUGGGGCACAGAGACACAGAUCACGAAGACACGGAAAAACAAAUAAAAGAAGCUUAAGCUUAAUCUAGUGAAGAAGAACCAAUAUAAAGCAAAAGGAACAGGUGAUCAAAAUGAGAGGAAAGAAAACUGAAGUGAGCAGCAGAAGGACCAGCGUGUUAUUCAUGGUUGUGCUGGGGAAAUGAAGGCCUCAGACCAUGUAAAAUAACAUUACAUCAAUUCUCAAGACAAUAUGAGAAUGAAUAAGUAUUUUAUUAGAAAUGGAUGGUUAAAAACUAAAAGUGAAAAGGAAAACCUGUCAAGUUUUAGCAGGAGCAGGGAUCUCAAAGAUGAGAGAUGGAGCAACCUGUCAGAAAGAACUCAAAGACGGCACGCUUGCUGUGCAGAAUGAAUUACAGAAUCACCCAGAGACAGUGAGAGACAGGACGGAGAAGAUUUGGGAGGAAAAACAAUUAAUUUGGUUUCUUGCUUUAUUGAUUUUCAAUUUAUGGUUAGAUAUCUAUGAGGAACUAGCCAGCAGGCAUAUGUUAAUAACAAACAUUGUUUCACACAAUUAACUUCUGAUAUUGUUUAUGGGUACCAUUUAAGCAGGCCAAUUGUAUCAGGUGAAAUGUAUUUAUGCUAAAAGAGACUGCCAAGAGGUGAGUUCCUCCAAACUCUGAUUGCUAGAAACGGUGUAUGAAUGAUAGGAAUCAUGUCACAGGUUUAUCUGGGUUUGUGUGUGUGCUGUUCUUAUUCACAACGGUUAAAGGUAACGGCACCAGAAAUAAGCCAAAAUGCAGGAUUUUGCCCAUCAUAAGCAUUUCCCUGAAAAUACCCAGUGUGGCAGCAUGUUUGUAGCACUCUGUGAUGCCCAUUUAGAGUGUUGUCCAUAUACCGAGUCAACUGAUAUCAUCAUGUAGUCUAUUCUGAUUUAGGCUUUGUGAAGUCACUGCACAGCCUAACCUAAACGUGCUGUUGAGCUGGAGUUUUACUGGCUAUGUGAUCCCUCAUUGAAUGGACUGUAUCUCUAGCAAGCUGAUGGCAAUGAUAAAGGCUAUGAUGGAGCUUAGAAGGGGAAAUGGGGAGGUGACAGCAACAAUCUGGAAGGGCUGUGAAUAUCAUCAAUCAGGCAUGAUAAAAUAAAGACUGGAGGGGCUUGAGGGGAAUAUUUCAGUCCUUUCAUGCUGGAAUGCUUCAAUUUUUAACAUUUAGUGUAACUGACUCAGCAAGGCCACACUUAUGUUCAGCAUCUCCUAUAGAAUUUAGUUCAGGCAAGGAGUUAUUUGCACCUCAGUUGUAGGAGCCUACCAAUUACCAGGAAAUGGACGAGACACUUCAGCCAUUCCUUCCCAAAUACUGCAUUAGCAGAGCUCACUUUUUCAGCAUCAAGGAAGCUAUCCUUAUUAGCUGCGAGAAUAUUGUUCUCAGACGCAUCAAAUCAGUUUUCUUCUUUUUUAAAAAAAGGCAGCUUGUAAAUGCAGAGUGAUCAAUACGAAGAGAAGCGCUCCGUCCAAGAAAAAUAUAAACCUCUGAGACGAAACAAGUAUUGUACUAAGUUUACUUUGUGCUUGUAUUACAUUAGCAUAGACUGGGCUGGAGCUGGAGUGUGCAAGAAAGGGGAUUAUUUUAACACCGUUUAUGGAAUCUUUUGGAUUUUGUUUGCCUUAUAAAAAAAUGCGUUUCUUCAAUAUAAAAAUAUUUGGUGACUUUGAAGGGGAGGGAGGAUUGGAAUGUGAUGCUUCAGCCCCUCUUAGAACUCCCUCCAAGCCACACCUGCCGUCCUAGGGGCUGCCCCCCAUCAAGCAUUCAGACCCAGGGAAGCACAAAAAUUGUGGCUCUCCACUCAGGCCUGCGCACCUAUCUGCGUGCUCCCCGGGCAACUCCUCCUGUGCUCUUGGUGGCCAAUAUCUCCUUGCCAAGAGCUCAACGGAGCCUAGGUAUGCCUUUGUUGCCAACCCUGGUCUCCAUCUUCCUUCAGUGUAUUUCUUGGCUGGAAUGGUCCCUUGUACUGCGACGAGGCCUUUUGCUUGUCUAGACACACAUCUCCAUGUUUGUGUGUGUCCCAGUGCUGUCAGGCAAGGAAUGUCCAGAGGGAGGAAUUGACAAUUGUAUAAAGUUAGAAGUUAGGAAAGGCAUGUCCCUCAGUCCUACAUCUCUCUCUGCUAAUCCUAGGUGUGCACCUGAUGAGGCAGUUGCCAGAACAGAGGGACCCUGCCCCCAACCUCAUGUAUCUCCCUCCACCUGAGCUGUGAGCAAGCAGGCAAAGAAUCCCUUUUCAAUUCUCUUUUGGUCCUGGAAGACAGUGGAGGAGGAGGUGUGGAAGUUCUUGAUUCUACACUAGCCUGAUCUAUCCUUCCUGCCCCUCGUCUUCACUCUCCAAUCCUGCAGUGUCUCUUGACUCUGACUAUCAUCUCCUGGCUGUUACAGGCUCCCCCAGGAGACUGCUCCCUUCUUCCAAGUCAGUCUCCAACCAGUGGCGGAGGAAGGGGGCAGAGGGGGCAGUGGCCCUGGGUGUCAGCCGGGGGGGUGACAUUGCCAUGGGUGGCGCCUCCCCCCUGGGACGCUUGCUCGGGCAGAUGCCUUCCCCCCUGGGAUGCUCGCACGGGCGGGUGCCUACCCAAUUGGGAUGAUGCUCGCAUUGGUGGGAACCUCCCCCUUGGGACGCUCGCACGUGCGAUGUGCCACGCCCCCACGAAAUGUGCCAUGCCCCCACGGGCAACGUGCCACGCCCCCGCUGCCCCGGGUACCAAAGCCCCUUCCUCCGCGACUGUCUCCAAUCCCAGUUCUCCUGGUGCACACCGAGCCAGUCACCACUGCUCAGUAUCCAGCCAGUCCCUGACAUCAUAUGUGUAUAGAAAAUUCUGACUACAGUGGUACCUUUGGAUGCGAACGGGAUCCGUUCCAGAACCCCGUUCGCAUCCUGAGUAGAAUGCAACCCGUGACUGCGGAUUGCGACCUGCCGCUUCUGCGCAUGCGUGUGACGUCAUUUUGAGUGUCUGCGCAUGUGCGAGCGGCGAAACCCGGAAGUAACACGCUCCAUUACUUCCAUGUCGCUGCGGAGCGUAAGCUGAAAAUGCUCAACCUGAAGCAUAUUUAACCAGAGGUAUGACUGUAUAGGGACCCGGGUGGCGCUGUGGGUUAAACCACAGAGCCUAGGACGUGAGCUCCUGUUGCUCGGUCCCUGCUCCUGCCAACCUAGCAGUUUGAAAGCAUGUCAAAGUGCAAGUAGAUAAAUAGGUACCGCUCUGGCGGGAAGGUAAACAGCGUUUCCGUGUGCUGCUCUGGUUUGCCAGAAGCGGCUUAGUCAUGCUGGUCACAUGACCCGGAAGCUGUACGCCGGCUCCCUCGGCCAAUAAAGCGAGAUGAGUGCCACAACCCCAGAGUCGGUCACGACUGGACCUAAUGGUCAGGGGUCCCUUUACCUUUACCUUUACGACUGUAUAAGCUUCUGUUCAAAAGUAAGAGCCACAUUGCUCCAACCACUUUUUGUCUCUGGUGCCACACACUUUUCUAUCUCUGGUCCUGCCUGCCACUGGCAUGCAGCCCCUGGUUUGGAGAAGCAGCCAGUUUCCCCUCUGAUCUGUGUAUCUCAGUAUGAUUUCUUUGAGCAGAAGAGUGGCAUCUGUACAGUAAAAGCUAAAAAAGGUAAAGGACCCCUGGACGGUUAAAUCCAGUCAAAGGCAACUGUGGGGUUGCAGAGCUCAUCUUGCUUCAGGCCGAGGGAGCCAGUGUUUGUCCACAGACAGCUGUCCGGGUCAUGUGCCCAGCAUGACUAAACCGCUUCUGGCACAAUGGAACGCCGUUAUGGAAACCAGAGCGCAUGGAAACGCCAUUUAUUUUCCUGCUGCAGCCGUACCUAUUUAUCUACUUGCACUGGUGUGCUUUCAAACUGCUAGAUUGGCAGGAGCUGGGACAGAGCCACGGGAGCUCACCCCGUCACAUGGAUUCAAACCACCGACAUUCUGAUCAGCAGGCCCAAGAGACUCAGUGGUUUAGACCACAGCGCCACCCACUCCCUACAGUAUCUGUACAAGUCACACUCAGUGUAGACCCACUGAAUGCAAUGCGCUGAUACCUAGAGUAUAUGACAUAGUUGAAUUCUACCUCAUGACUUUUCUGAAGGGUGAUUUCAAUACUGUAUCAUGCUCUUGCCAGAUGAAACGACCCCCCUCCUCCCCACACAAACUGGGUUUUUUUGGCGGGGGGGUUCUCCUGUCACUUCCAGAUAAUUUAAGGGGGUUAAGGGGGGAACCCCCAUUGUACAGGUGGAAGUCCAAUUCAGAGUUUUAGCUGAUGGGGUUGGCUUGGUGUGUUCUGCCACUAGUCAUAAAUAAGUUGGAGCAGAGCAGCAGCGCAAAAUGUAUUUUCAAUACGAAAAAAACAAAACAAAAAAAAUUGGAAAUGAGUUGCUUUCUUAGUAAUGAAGACAUUAUGCCAUUUAAUUAUCAAGGGUGUUUUUUAUAUAUAGGAAAAAAGAUCAUCGCUUUCCCCCAUCUGCUUAUUUGGCUUUAAGCUGGAUAGAUUUAAAUGCAGAAAACAGCUCAGGCCAAUAUUAGAAGGAAAAUCCACAGUCACAUAAUUAAUGCAAUUAACUGUUUUAAUCUCAUUUGUUGAAGUAAUAAGAAAAUUUUGUUUCAGACUCUUUCAUGAUUCAGAUAUAUCAAUCCUUUUGAAAUGGGAGACAUUGUUGUACUUAAUGGAUCCUUUUGAAUCGCUCUGUCGUUUAAUGUUUUAUUAGUUGUACAUCAAAUGUGGGGGAGUUUCCCCUCAUAUCUUGAUAAUACAUAAAGAAAAUGUGUCAUUGGGAGAUAAUGCACUCUUGUCCUAGGGUAUACAUUCUCUAUCUCCUUUAAGUAGCGGGCGGCAAUAUAUUUUGAAUACUAAUUAUUUGAAUUAUUAAACUAAGAGUAUUGAGACUCUGGUUCCUGGUGGGUAAUUUUAGCUACAUCUUAUUUAAAAGCAAAUUAAACUAUCACUCUUGAAAAUACUAAUCUGAAAGAUGGGAAAUUAAUCUUUCCAUCACAAUACUAUUUUAAGAAGAACUGGAAUGUUAUUGCCAUUUCUGAACCAUCUUGAGAGGCUCUGUGAACACCAGAACUUUUUCUGUGGUUGAAUUUUUCCUGGCAUAGCACCCUCAUGUGAGCUGCUCAAAUCCACUCCCUGUUGAUCCAGCAAGGGCAAUUUGUCUAUAGAAAGAGACCUAUGUGAAUGAAUUGCGCUGUUGGAUGAUCCUAUAGUCGUGGAAAAGCGAGGAGUGUGCCACUCUGGAAUGUGGACCUCUGAAUUAGGCCCAGUAAAAAUAAAGAAAAAGCCCAGCAAAAGCAAUUUGCAAGCUGAAAUCAAUGGCACUUAGAUCACUCAGUCCUAUGUCCCAUUCCUUUGUCUUUUCCAAUGGGACUAACAUGUUCCUAGAUAAGUCAUGCUAUAAUUUCAACCUAAGAGUUGUAUCCAAAGAAACAUCCCAUUUGCUAAAGGACUUUUGCUUGCUCAUUGGAACGUCCUGUCCUUCACCUUCCCUCAUGCAGCCCACAAAAUCUGUUCUAUGUAUUCCCUCAAUCAGUGUUGAAUUUAGAUGGAGAGAGACCCUAGGCUACUCUACUUGUGAGGCCCCUCCCCCUCCCUCACCCCCACAACUAGAAGAAAAUGGAAGAGUGUUAUAAACAAAAUUGAGUGAAGCCAAGGAUGAUGAUGGGUAUUUAAAAUUCUACCAUUCACAAUUUUUCCUCUAAAGGACAUAAGAUAUUGUUAAAUGCCAUGGCGAUUUUAAAAAAUGCAUAAAAUUAACACUGAAAAGCUUUUGCAAUAACUGAACUUUGCAAACCUUUUGUGGCCUGGGCAGGCCUGGAACUAGUUCCCAUGUCCUGUUCCUCUCUAAGGAAUCAAGUUCAGCCUUCAUGGCAUUUAACCUCCUUCUUGACAUAGAAUGCUCUCUAUUGGAGUCUCCAGGUGCAAUACAAAGACCAUAAGAAGGGAGAGCAGGGACCUUGAAAUUCCCAACAGCUGUUAAUCAAGCAAGCAAGCACACAGGUCACCUUUGUCACAGUCAGGACGCCUAUGUCCUGGCCAGGCCUGCACCCAAUCUUGUUUUUGUACAAUCUUAACAGAAGUGAGAGCUGGACCAUAAAGAAGGCUGAUCGCCGAAGAAUUGAUUCUUUUGAAUUAUGGUGCUGGAGGAGACUCUUGAGAGUCCCAUGGACUGCAAGAAGAUCAAACCUAUCCAUUCUGAAGGAAAUCAGCCCUGAGUGCUGACUGGAAGGACAGAUCCUGAAGCUGAGACUCCAAUACUUUGGCCACCUCAUGAGAAGAGAAGACUCCCUGGAAAAGACCCUGAUGUUGGGAAAGAUUGAGGGCACAAGGAGAAGGGGACGACAUAGGACGAGAUGGUUGGAUAGUGUUCUCGAAGCUACCAGCAUGAGUUUGACCAAACUGCGGGACACAGUGGAAGACAGGAGUGCCUGGCGUGCUCUGGUCCAUGGGGUCACGAAGAGUCGGACACGACUAAACAACAACAACAACAAACAGUAAUCCUUCUAGCUGGUUAAUUGGUUCGGCAAUUUCUAUGCACAUGAUGUGUGAUGUUAAUUAUUUUCCCCAAGAGUUAAAUGAUAACUAAUCAGAGGCAGCUACAAGAGAGCUAUGAGAUUCAGGUGAGGGUCAGAUGCCUUGUCAAUCCCAGCCUGUAUAUAAGAGGACGACCCAGGCCUCCACCCUGCCCACCAUUCUCCUGAAAAGAAAAAGCCUAGCAUGGAAGACUAGUGUAUAGUAUGCAGAUCUGAAAGGGCCACAAAGGGUAAACCACCCAAAAGGUAUGCUGAAGAGUUUGCUAAAACAGUCAUAGCAGAUACUGCUGUUGUUAGUAACUCAGCAGUGGAUUAAAGGGUUAUAUAAUGCCUCAAAAAUGUGGUUUCUCAUUUGAAAUUACUGUUGAAAUGUGGAGAAAUUUGGAGAAAUCUAAACCCAAGUAUAUUUAUUUUAGAAUUUAAACAACCUUUAGAUUCAUCACUGCAAAUUACGUUUUUCGGUCAUAAGAAGAAGCAGGGUACAGUAUGAGCCAGUUGACAAAUUCUUAGUAGACGAGUUUUGCAAUUCCAUUAAAUUGUUAUUAUACAAAACUAAAAUGAACUGUUGUAAGCGUGUAUGUAUUUAUGAAUUAUAAUUUCCAGCUGAGAUUGGCCUUCUAAGUGGCUUGCAAUUAAAAUGCACACAGAGAUACAUUUAUGACAGAAGUAUAUGGAGGCAAUAUAUGGCAAAGUCUUCUGGCCCCUGACAGUUGAGGUCACAGUACAGAUUCCAGGCUCUUCCCUAUGGAUUUUCAGAUGGACGUGUGGGGCUUGUUGAUGGUCAAGAUGCUGACCUACAGAAGCAGCACUCCAAUUAUUUAGUAAAGGCAAUAUAUUUUACAUUCAACAAAGCUAUUCACUUUUUUGCUGUUUGUAUUCAUAAAUGUUCAGUAAUUAAUUUAAAAUAACAGGAAGCAACAGUGAUUCCCAUCCUUGAGUCUUUAUCUUAUUCUUGGGGGAGAUACAGAUGCAUGGAGUGUGUGUCUCUGCCUUCAUGCAUAGAGCAGUGAGACACCCACAAUAUCCUCCAUGUUUUCCUGACAGUUCACUUGCCCCUUUGGCCAAUGUCAGAAUGUGAAACUGGCAUAGCUGCUGGGUGCCUGAGCUAUGGGAUGUGGCUAUGGUGGGCCUGAGAACUGUCUCUCUUGGAUCUGCUCAUGGACAAUAUAGAAACACAAAGAUGGGAUCCUCACUUGGUGCAGCAUGGGACAAAAGGAUGGGAGACAAUGGGAGACAGAUGAUCAGUCAAGAAUCAAGCAACCACCACCAGGACAAAAAAAGGACUUGCAUGUACUUGAGCCAUGUUUUUAGUUGACAUAUCUUUUGGAAGUUUUUACCCUUGUUAACAAAAGAAGACUUGUUAACAAAGGUAAACUUCAAAAAGAUUUGUCAACACAAAACAUGGCUCACAUACUUGGUUCAAGUAUUUUUUUGUUCUGGUGCCAGAUAUGAGACUAUAUUAUGAGGCAUCCUCUCUUUGUUGAUUGAAGGAAUGGAUGACAUUAGAAAAUUCACAUAUUCUAGACUUAGAAGAUCAUGACAAUAUUUAUGGUAGGCACGCUUAUCUAUGGUAUGAAAAGGCAAAGGUUCCUAAAGGAUUUACAAAUCAUAUAAUUGGGGAAAACUUGUAUAGCGUAUGGGAUAAAUAUAAGAAUUUAUUAGUGGCAAAAACACCACUUUGGUUCUCACCGUUCGAAGCUAUAGCGGUAAAGAAAAAGAAUAUGAUAGAAGGGUGGACAAUGUACAGAAAUUUAUUGAAACAAGAGGGAGGAGAGUAUAAAUUAAAAGAAUUUAAGGAAUUAUCAGGAAAAUUAACAACAUGGAUACAAGAUCAUCAUUUGAAUGAACUAUUUCAGAAAGAUAGGACACAAUGGUUUGGGGAACAAAUAUCACAAUUAGAGAGAGACCUGUUGGAAUGUAAUGUAAAAGUGCUGUCUAAAAUGUAUAAAAUAUUGUUGGAAUGGGAAACAAAGGAUGAGCAAGUAAAAUCUUCAAUGAUACAUUGGGCAAUAGAUAUUGGUCAUAAUAUAGACAUAGAAGCAUGGGAACGAUUUUGGAAUAUGGAUACAAAACAUAGCUCAAGUAGGUACAUGAAACAAGCCGUGAGGGGGAGGAAAAAGCAAUCCAAAACGCUACAUGUGUGUAACCCUAUUGUUGUCCAGUUAUGAAGAUAAUUCAAAAGGUUAAGGGGUGAUAUGAUAACCAUGUUCAAAUAUAUAAAAGGAUGUCACAUAGCGGAGGGAGAAAGGUUGUUUUCUGCUGCUCCAGAGAAGCGGACACGGAGCAAUGGAUCCAAACUACAAGAAAGAAGAUUCCACCUAAACAUUAGGAAGAACUUCCUGACAGUAAGAGCUGUUUGACAGUGGAAUUUGCUGCCAAGGAGUGUGGUGGAGUCUCCUUCUUUGGAGGUCUUUAAGCAGAGGCUUGACAACCAUAUGUCAGGAGUGCUCUGAUGGUGUUUCCUGCUUGGCAGGGGGUUGGACUCGAUGGCCCUUGUGGUCUCUUCCAACUCUAGGAUUCUAUGAUUCAAUUCUAGAAAUGCAUCUGUUGAUUCUAAUGGCCUUGCUGUGGGCUCCAUACAGUGGUACCUUAGGUUACAGAUGCUUCAGGUUACCUUGACCAUGGACCAGAGCACACCAGGCACUCCUGUCUUCCACUGCCUCCCGCAGUUUGGUCAAACUCAUGCUGGUAGCUUCGAGAACACUAUCCAACCAUCUCAUCCUCUGUCAUCCUCUGUCGUCCCCGUCUCCUUGUGCCCUCCAUCUUUCCCAACAUCAGGGUCUUUUCCAGGGAGUCUUCUCUUCUCAUGAGGUGACCAAAGUAUUGGAGUCUCAGCUUCAGGAUCUGUCCUUCCAGUGAGCGCUCAGGGCUGAUUUCCUUCAGAAUGGAUAGGUUUGAUCUUCUUGCAGUCCAUGGGUGCUGAGUCUCCUCCAGCACCAUAAUUCAAAAGAAUCAAUUCUUCAGUGAUCAGCCUUUUUUAUGGUCCAGCUCUCACUUCCAUAUAUCACUACUGGGAAAACCAUAGCUUUUACUAUACGGACCUUUGUUGGCAAGGUGAUGUCUCUGCUUUUUAAGAUGCUGUCUAGGUUUGUCAUUGCUUUUCUCCCAAGAAGCAGGCGUCUUUUAAUUUCGUGACUGCUUUCACCAUCUGCAGUGAUCAUGGAGCCCAAGAAAGUAAAAUCUCUCACUGCCUCCAUUUCUUCCCCUUCUAUUUGCCAGGAGGUGAUGGGACCAGUUGCCAUGAUCUUCGUGUUUUUUUUUAUGUUGAGCUUCAAACCGCCCUAAAAAACUUCCCUUUUUGCUCGUUGGUGCAGUUUAUUAAAGCACCUUUUCCUGCUAUUAUUAUGUACUCUACCAGCAGUGUAUCUUUUCCUUAAAUCCAAAGGAGUUUCAAAGUAAGGGAGGGUGGGAAAGAAGCCAAGAGCCCAAGGAAAGGAGUUUCUCUUAUGGUGAAGAAUCUAUGGUGCAGAAAGGCCAUUUCAAGGUUACUCUUUGACAGAAGAGAAGCAGGAAUAGAAACAGAGGCCAUGUAUGUAAGAGUGAAAGGAUAUUUAGAAACCAGGGAGGAUCACAAGAAAAUGAUGAGAGGCACAGCUGUAGCUUAGUAGCAGUUUUAGCUGGCAAAAUUUUGCUUAACAUAACAAUAAAGUGCUUUACACACACACACACAGCCCUGGCAAAAUGGUAUUUUCUGGAAAUGAAUACCUUGUUAUGAUACAAAUAGAGCAGAAAAAUGAUAUUUCUUCUUUUUGCUUUUAUGACAUUUAAAAGGUUUAUUUUUAAACCAUGUGCUUACAAUAUUUAUUUUACAUUGUUUUGUGACUCCCCUCAGAAAGCAGAAAAAGAUGUAUACUGUACAAAUAUGUACACUCUAAAACAAACGGUUUGCAUUUUCUGAAGAAGAAUCACUCUGUCAACUGGCGAGGGAUCAUUUCCCCCUGUGUGUGCAGAAGCUGCAAAGAAGAAGAGUCAGAAGAGGAAACAGCAGCCAUUUCUAGGAUUGAGUUGUUGUCAUCAUGAGGAUGGGUUUGUCCUUAUGUACCUCUUUUUAAGGCUUCUCCUUCUGUGCCUAUGAACACAAGGCAGGAGGCGAGAUCUGAAUCACUAACACUGCUGUAAGCCUUUCCUCAAAGACAUUUUAGAGAAUCUAAAGUUCACUCUCUUUUAAAAUACAGUGGUAACUCGGGUUACAUACACUUCAGGUUACAUACGCUUCAGGUUACAGACUCCGCUAACUCAGAAAUAGUACCUCGGGUUAAGAACUUUGCUUCGGCAUAAGAACAGAAAUUGUGCUCCGGCGGCACGGCAGCAGCAGGAGGCUCCAUUAGCUAAAGUGGUGCUUCAGGUUAAGAACAGUUUCAUGUUAAGAGCGGACCUCCGGAAUGAAUUAAGUACUUAACCUGAGGUAGCACUGUACUUAAAAAAUAAUAAUGAGGCACAGUCUCUGAUACUUUAGUCACAUCCUAGGCACUAUAUACCAGUUCCCUAUUCUGAAUCUUGCAGUUUCUCUUUCAAGUCGAUAUUCUUCAGACUUCCUAAUGACCUUAUGUUGUAUGAAGAUGGAUAGAGCUGCCUCAGUUUAUCUGGUCCCACUUUACCAACAUAUUCUGGGGUCCACUCACUGGCCAUCCCUCUUCUUUCAAAUCUCCCAGUAAAUUCUCAUGCACCUCUCAAAUCGGCUUACUUGCUGGCCUUCCCUUUCUCAUAAACUUGCUUCUCUAUAAUAUCUGGUCCUCUGAUUUUCCAUCACCUUUGCUGUUCCUGAGCAGCAGCAGAAGAGGAGCCAAUAUAGGAUAAAACUAAGAAGGAGGGGGGACAAACCCCUUUUGCUAGUGCAGUACAUUUACUGCACACUGUACAAGUGUUAUUGCAUAGGACCUGAGAUUUGGGUAGCUCUCCUUUGUACUGAAUUAAACCCGUUUCCUUUUACAGUAGGAUUUGCAUGAAUGUCAAGAAAAUCAACCACUUGAGCAGGGAAAUUCCUAUACAGUGGUACCUCGUGUUGCGUAACCUCCAAGAUACGGAAUCUUUGGGUUACAGCCGCAGCAAACCUGGAAGUGUAUACUUCCGGGUUUCGCUGCUUGUGCAUGCACAGAAGUGCUCUGCGUGCAUGCGCAGAAGCGUUCUAUCAUGCCGCAUGUGUGCGCAGAAGCGGCGCCUCUAGUUGUGGAUUUUUCAGGGUGUGCAUGGCGCCCCAAAAUGAAUUAAAUGCGUAACCUGAGGUACCACUGUAUCCUAUGCCAAUUCCAAUGUAAAGCUUAUAUAUCUCCAUCUCUAAGAGUAGUUACUCAUUCAAGGAGUGAGAGGCAAAUAACCCCGUCUCAAAUGCCUCUCACUCCUUGAAAGAGUAACUAAGAUAGGUUGCCCAAUGACCUCUUUCUUCCUCCAGGACAAACUCUGUGUAUGGAACACUCUGCAAAAGAAAGAAAGGAAAUAGGUACACAGUUGAACAUACCACCAGGCCCUGCAGACAUCAAUCCACACUAGGUCACAUAUACAGCUCAACAUAAAUAUGCCAAGCCCCCAGCUGAGAAAUAGAACACAACUAAUGGGGGGCAGGCAUUCCAUCCCAUAUCUCACCUGGGGCGUUCACAGUACCUUCCCUGCCCCACCUCAUACCCAAGGUUUAGAAAUUCUCUGGCACACCACAGUCUCUAACACUGGACACCCCAGAAACAUUAAACAAAUGUUUCCCAAACUUGGGUCUCCAGCUGCUUUUGGACUACAGUUCCCAUCAUCCCUGACCACUGGUCCUGCUAGUUUGGGAUGAUGGGAGUUGUAGUCCAAGAGCAGCUGAAGAGCCAAGUUUGGGAAACACUGCAUUAAACCUAUGUCUGUCAUACCUGCAUAAAGGUAAAGGUAAAGGGACCCCUGACCAUUAGGUCCAGUCGUGGCCGACUCUAGGGUUGCGGUGCUCAUCUAGCUUUACUUUCCAUGGGAGCUGGUGUACAGCUUCUGGGUCAUGUGGCCAGCAUGACUAAGCUGCUUCUGGCGAACCAGAGCAGCGUACGGAAACACCGUUUACCUUCCCGCCAGAGCGGUACCUAUUUAUCUGCUUGCACUUUGACGUGCUUUCGAACUGCUAGGUUGGCAGGAGCAGGGACCCGAACAAUGGGAGCUCACCCUGUCGCAGGGAUUCGAACCGCCGACCUUUUGAUCGGCAAGUCCUAGGCUCUGUGGUUUAACCCACAGCGCCACCCACAUCCCCAUCAUACAUACCUGCAUACACACAUGCAUACCUGCAUACACACAUGCAAAUACAUGCUGCAUACAAUAAACACACUCAUGUAAUGCCCACAGGUAGGGGGAGGAAACCAUGGUAGAAUUGUGCCCUUUCCCCAACCCUGAAGUGACAACCCUUUCAGGGUUGUUCUCACCAAAUGGUAGCCUGCCACAUUGCAUCUGCUUCUGCUUUUAUGGUUCUUGAGCCAGGUGAUGUAAAUUGGCUGGAGGUGAAGAGGUUUCUAGGGCUGCUUCUCUCAACUGCAGGGCUGGCUUGCUUGAUGGUGAGAGGUUUGCCUGUUGGUAUGGGCAACUAGAAGCAGGUGCAAGCCUAGCAGGAGGGAGGCGUUAGAUGUAGAUGCUUAGAGAUGUCGAAGGCUCUCCUCCUUACUUCCCCCCCUCCUGUUCACCUCUCUGCCCCAAGCCGUAGAUUGACUGGAAUCAAUUUAUUGGCUAUCAGGAGAGUUCUUUUACUUACAUUGCAGUCCUUGAGAAUGAGCAAUAUUUGAUUUUUUUUAAUAUUACAGUAUAAGUAAUGAUUUCCUGCUGGGAUCAUUGCGUUUUGGGAUUUCAAUACUGUUAUCUUUUUUAUUAAGACAAUACAGAAAAAAGUCUCUGUCAUUUUAAGGAGCUUCAACUGCCCAUUUCCCCCUUAAUAACCCAAGUAUUAAGAAUCAGCAGUUUUGCUUAGUGCAAUGCACAGGAAGAGAUUACGAAUGUCUCUACAGAGAACAUAGCAACAGACCAGUUAUUGAAGCCUGAAAUAGAAAGAGCAUGUUAACUAUGCUGAAUCCAAAAGCAGUUUCAUGUUUUGUUUUUAUUUAAAAAAAUAUUUAUUUCCCCAAAGUGGAAGCUGCUAGUAUUUGCAGGGUUGCACAAAAAUAACGCAGGCUCUCCGUAGGUUGUGUGUGUGUGUGUGUGUGUACACUCAGGGCUGAUUUUACAAAACAAAUACUGAUUGAGUGGUGACAACAUAGCUACGUUUAUUUUACCCCCCCACCCACUCCUUGCCUCGAGUUCAGUUCUCUAUUCAUUUAACAACUUCUCAGGUCUACUGCCUUUACACAACUAAAUUGAUCCUAUAGCCUAUGGCAUAAUUAUGCUGGUCCCGGGGGGGGGGGUUACCGUGCGGCGUGGUCCAUGUCCGGUCCGAGGCUGAAGCGGGGUCCAAGGCAGGGAGUCAGGCAUGGUCAGGAACUCUGGCAGAAAGCAGGACAGGGUGCCGGCAGGAACAGGUAACCAACGAUGUUGCUCCCGCAACCUGGGACUGGGCGGGCUGGCCUUGAUCUCCUCUGAGGCAUAGAGCGGCCCCGGUCCACAGGUGACUCGCCUCUCCUGGCCUGGAGGCGAGCACUCCUCCUGCGAGAACUUAGUUCCCUCCGCCUCUCUGCCCCGAGCCUCUGCAGCUCAGGAGAGGCUGGAGGGUUACUGGACCCAGAGGCAACCUCACCUUCCUCUGGCAGGGCUGGGAGAGGAGCACCUGCAGGCAAUGGGUCCUCGAUCACCUCCGGAGCCAGAGCGGAUUCAGCUGGUGUCUGCUCCUGAGGAUCCGGCACAGGUGAGGGCUCUUCAGGUUCAAGCCCCUGCCCCAGCUCAGCCGGCCCUGGAGGCGGGGACUCCUGUUCAGGCUGGGAUUCCUCAGGUUCAGCCUCUGAAUCCGAUUCCCAGGCCAUCACAAGCUUACCUAUAAUCCAAAUACUGAAUGAAAGAAAAGUGACUGCCUCACUCAUGGCUUAUAUUAGAGUUAUUGACUCCCUAGGAGGACCAAGAGAGCUGGUUGCUGGAAGACAUCAGAUGUUGGCUUGAUGGACCACUGUUAAGAACGACAGAAGCUUGUUGCUAUGUUAUUGAUUUCAAAGGCACUGUUUGUAAUUCCAGGAAGUGAAUGGCAGAGAACCAUCCUUCCAGGAAAGAGAUGAACUAUAAAACAUUCAUAAUAAAUACAGAAAGGUGAUCAAAUUCUCAGAUGGGGUGGCAGUGAUAAGUUAAAGAUAACAUUUAAUUAAUGAAUGAAAAAUAUUUUUAUCGUGGUCUUGCUUAAGCUUGAGACAUUUAGACAUUCAUAGCACUGUAGCAUUCCUCAGCUGCACAAAGUCUGCUUUGCAGAACUGAAUGUGUGCAAGUUUCUUACCUUUGCUUCUCCCUUGCAGACAACUCUCUUCAUGUGUAAGGGAGAUUUUUGUCUGGAUCACAAUAGGGGAGGGGUUUAGUUCCGUCUUUACACCUCCUGCACAUGAAAUUGAAAAGUACAUUUAAUUUCUUGUGUAGUUUGGCCCAAAGUACAUACUUUGCUGGAACUGAAUUAUCUGGUCCUUCAACCAUCCUUGAAUAUUUCAGAUAUAUAAGUUUCUAACUGAAGAUACUUCACUUUUUGAAAGGAAUCAGGCUAACUAAAUGCAUGAAUAGAAAAGAAAACCAGAUAAUUCUAGUAUACAAAAAAUAAAGGAGGAGGAUAAAAAGCCCAGACUUCUAAGCAAUCUUGUGAACGCUACUAAUAAUGCAUUUUUAAUACACAGAAAAAUGAGUAGAGAAGUCAAAAUAGCCCCUCGGGCUAUUAAAAACAAAUCUCAGUGCCUUUUUAUCAUACAUACUGUAGGAUUAUUGAAUGCUUGUAAUUAAAGCUGUCUUCAUGUUUUCAGUUUUAUCACCUAAAAGCCAAACAAACAAAAGGAGUCUGCAUUACCAUCAACUUAACCGAAGAGCAAAUGUUAAAUCCCAUUUGAGCCUUUCUGAUAAUAGAUAUUUUCGUAACCCAUAUUUAAGCAGGCAUGCAGUUGAGCUUUUAUGGAUGAUGUUUAAAGUUUAAUGCACAAAACACACAGCUUCUCGUUGCUACAAUAAUUUAGACAUUAGCAAGAUCUACACUUGUCAGAUUGCUUGGGUAAUUUUAUGCUGGUGGAAUUGUUUUGGAAAUGUCAGUGGAGAAAAUGGGAGCAUGGCAUUGUGUCCAAAAUGUAUUUUGGGAUGUGAAGAAUUAGGUGAUAAAAGCUGUUGGACUUAUAAUACCCUGUUCUGUAUACCAUAGGAACAAUUGGGCGUGUGAUGUGUGUGAAGUCAUCAUGAUAAAGUAUCACAUUUGGGGGGGGGGGAAACAAACUUUUAUAAUUGUUUGGCAUUCUGCAGAAAUGCAUUAUUCUCAGUAAUAAUGUUGAAAAGACUAAACACAUAGUUGAACUGCAAUGAAUUGGCAACUCUUAUGGCAGCUCAACUGGUUUUCCCAGUAGUGAUGUAUGGAAGUGAGAGCUGGACCAUAAAGAAGGCAGAUCGCCAAAGAAUUGAUGCUUUUGAAUUAUGGUGCUGGAGGAGACUCUUGAGAGUCCCAUGGACUGCAAGAAGAUCAAACCUCUCCAUUCUUAAGGAAAUCAGCCCUGAGUGCUCACUGGAAGGACAGAUCCUGAAGCUGAGACUCCAAUACUUUGGCCACCUCAUGAGAAGAGAAGACUCCCUGGAAAAGGCCCUGAUGUUGGGAAAGAUGGAGGGCACAAGGAGAAGGGGACGAUAGAGAUGGUUGGAGAGUGUUCUCGAAGCUACCAGCAUGAGUUUGACGAAACUGUGGGAGGCAGCGGAAGACAGGAGUGCCUGGUGUGCUCUGGUCCAUGGGGUCAUGAAGAGUUGGACAUGACUAAAUGACUAAACAACAACAACAACAACAACAUGUGUGUUACACGAGGGACAAUCCUAUAGGAAGUUCCGCUGGAACGAGCAGCUUUGAAUGCAGUGGCUCUUUGGCUCAGCCGGCAUUAAGUCCCCAACCACAGCUCAGCCAAAUAUACGUUUUUUGGUGGCAAGGAGAAAUGUAGGUACAAAAAGGAGAACUCCUGGAUGCCAAAAUAGAAGUUUGGAGCAAGUACUCUUUGGUGGGAGAACCACAGCAGAGAUUUAAAAUCACAAAAUAUUCAGCAAAGCAAAGCAUGGAAAUAGAGGCUGUUAAACCUUUAAAACAUGCCCUUGUGAGUUCUAAAACGUACCCCUUCAGUUAGCAUAGGGAAAAAAAUACAUCACAUAUUUGGUAAGUUAAAAAAUGGUUUACUUAUAAACUCUCCAAAGGUCAGUUUCAGGUGCUUUCCCAUAAAGCAUUCAGAAAAUGUUGCACAGGCAGUAAAACUUGGCUUAGUUCCAAACUUCCUAAAUAAGAGUGGCUUGUUAGAGCCAUGCAGUCUGAACUUGAAGCAACCAGCUCAGACCUCUUGACUCGCUGAGCUUCUCUGGUAGACUGACGUACAACAACAGGCUUGAUUACCUUCUUCCUAAGGUGAGGGGGAGUGACCUAUCUAAGUCUAGCAGGACAGCUUACUCUAUGGCAUUAACCCCUUCCUGAAUUAAUUAGACUUAAGCAUGUUGGUUAUGUGAGGCUAGUUAUACCCCAACACUAACAUAACUUGUUCACUCUCACUCAGCCAGGGCUCAGUUGCCGAACUAAAGCUGGUUUAAGUCAAAACGGAAGUUAUACUCAGAACAGAGCACGUUCGGCUUCCAAAAAGAGUUCCAAAACCAGUACACUCAUUUCCGGGUUUGAAGUGUUUAGAUUCCAAGUAGUUCGAGAACUAAGCUGUUCGAAAACUGAGGUAUCACUAUAUUUAUUUUUCCCCUGGUGGUGAUUUUCUUGAGUCAAAAUGAGAGUACCCCGAAACAUUUAUUUUUUUGAAAAAAAGCACUGAGUUAUACCAUAAAAUUAUAUAUCAACUGAAAGAUAAUUUAAUGAAGAAUGUAAUGAAGGAUUAUUUAUUCUGACAGCAGUCAUAAAGAAGAAACGUGAAACACACAGAAAAAAUGAGAUAUAUAGGUUAAAUUGCCGUGUUGGCACUUUGUGAUAAAUAAGUGGGUUUUGGGUUGCACUUGGUCUCUAAAAGGUUCGCCAUCACUGCCCUAAAUCCACCUCUGGAGUAUUCUCCAGUGAAUAUUGUAGAAUUAAAUUUUGUGUCAAUAUGCAAAGAAUCACGCUGGUAUUUAUUGUUUUAAACUGCUCUUGGCUCCCUUUAUAAGCCACGUGAUACAACUUCCUUUGAAGUGCAUGAUGCGAGAGACUGCAUAUUUGUAAGUUUGCCUCGUGUCAAAAAUCUCCAUGCCCAUGUUUUCAGUAACUAGAAUAUGAGGCAGAGGGGACACCCACACACUUUUCAAUAAUGUGGCCCUGCAUUUAUAAUCUAAAAUUGCACAAUCACAAUAUCUAAGAGUCAUGCAGGGGUGGGCAAACACGCCAAGUUCAACUUCUCUCUGUUCCUCCAUCUUAAAUCUAGUUCUUCACAUUUCAACAUUUAAAAAGUCCUCAUGAUAAAGACAUUUUGGGGUGCAACUUCCUCUAAUGUGCACACUGCUGCAUUUAUAUGCACACUUUACCACAGUAUAUGCAUUUUUUUACUUGGCUGGAAAACUGCACUUCAAGCAAUGGGAGAAUUGUGGAUUUUGAAGGGUGGAUGUGUUUGGAGUUGCAUAUUGUGAACUUGUCAGGGAACUGCCAUCGGAAGGAAGGGAGGUGAAAGGACUCAGACAGGUUGGAAGAGAUUCAGCAGCUGAAGAGGGAACCAGCAAGGGGAGAGAAGCUGAACUGAGGGAGGUGAAAGGGCUCAGACAGGUUGGAAGAGACUCAGCAGCGGAACAGGAAACCAGUAGGGGAGAGAAGCUGAACUGAGGGAAAGGGAGCUGGGGGAUGGCUCAGAGAUACUUCCAGCGAAAACAGUGGUGAGGUUUCCGGACCUCCUGUAGCGACACCCACUCCUCGCCGGAAACUGUCACGCAGAGAGUCCAGAAGACGUGUUUCCGUUAAGGAGCUUUUAUGUUGGAAGCGAUUACGAAAGCAACCACUGUCGGAAUCUUCUAGUGACUAGAGGAGCCAUGUCAGAGGGGCUCAGUCACAGACAGAGGUUUGUGGACUUGAACAAACUCUGAGGGAAUACGAUUUUACGCACAAGCAGCUCAUAAUCCCAUCACAGCAUUCCGACAGUCUUUGAACGCAGCUUGUGCAGGAGAAGGCAUAAUGAGCAACCCAGCAGGAACCGGAGAAGCAGGGGCUGGAGCGGGUCCAAGCCUGGAAGAAAGGUACCGGGUGUUGGAGGUCCAGCUGGCGCUGCAGACGGCGAGGCUGGAGGAGAGGAGGGCGCAAGAUGCAGACAAAGGGAGAAAGCCACCCAGCUCGCCAGAAAGGUACCAGGAUUGGUGCAGAAAUUUGGGGGGGAGCCCAAAGACUAUCAUAGCUUUCGGACAGAAAUGCAAUAUGCCCUCAAUCUGCAGUUUGAUGAUUUCCCUGAUGAGGAAUCACGAGUGGCUUUUGUGAUUGGGCAUCUUGAAAAGGGGCGAGAGACUGGGUGAGACCCCUGAUGGCAGCGCAUAGUGACGUCCUAAAGGACACAAUGAAGUUCUUUCGCGCCAUGGAUUUGAUGUUUUCCAGCGAUAUUGAAAAGGGAGUGGUGCGCAGACAGUUAAUGGCUUGCAAACAGGGGAGCCGAUCUGUACGUGAGUACUGGACUGAGUUCACCAUGCUGAUACACAGAUUGGGGUGGGACUUAUCGGCGGAACCCAUUCAAAUGCUCUUUGAAGAAGGGCUUUCUUCGGCUGUGAAAGAUGAACUUUCCCGGGCGCCCAGGGCGGAGUCUAUGGACCAGCUGACCAAAUCAGCGCUGGCCAUAGGAGCGCGCCAGGAGGCGAGAGCAUUGGAGAGGCGGGAAGGGAAGGGGAACGUUGGAAGGAGUUCCGCAUUCCAGACAUUCCAGAGCCAACUGUCCCGCCGGCAGAGCCGAUGGAAAUCGGAACAGCGCGCGCGCGCAGUUUCAAAGCCCAGUGAGGGGAAAGAAGGAUGGAAAAGGCGCCCGGAAAUGCUAUCUCUGCCAACAGCCAGGGCACUUUGCCAGAGUCUGCCCCCAGAGGAAGGAAUGGCAAGGGAUGGUGGGAGCUGUGGAGGGAAGAGAGGAAUAAAUACCGGAGCAACUAAAAGCCAACGCCUGGCUGCCAUUGUCGGGGCACAGCAGCCAGGCCAAAGAGCAGUGAAAGUGCCCACUCCAGAACCUCCUAAACCCGCCCUAGUGAUAGAAGUGACACUAGAGCUGCCAAACGGACACCCUCUAAAGAUAAAGGCGCUGUUGGACUCAGGCAGCUCCUGCAAUUUCAUGAGCAAAGAGUUUGCAGCUGAACACCAGAUACAGACGCUCCCUUUAAGCAACCCCCUGCAGGUAACCACGAUCGAUGGCAGGGAGCUGUUGGGAGGAGAAGUCAGCUUGCAGACCGUCCCAAUGAUAAUGAAGGUGGCAAGGCACACCGAACUAAUAGCAUUUAAUGUGGCCACCUUGGGAGGAGCUCCCAUUAUAUUGGGGAUGAGCUGGCUAGCGUUACAUGAUCCGCUGGUGGGCUGGCAUCAAAGAGUGGUUUCUUUUGGGUCAGCACAUUGCUUAGAACAUUGCAAAGAGGGAAGGGUUUUGGCAGGGGCCCAAGCCACUCUAGCAGGGACUGAAGUGACGGAGAACGUGAAGGUACCACGACAAUACGCAGAUCUCCGCGACGUUUUCAGCGAAAGGGAAGCUGACCAACUACCACCGCAUAGAGCCUUUGACUGUCAAAUCAAUUUGCUCCCUGGGGCACAGCUCCCUGUAGGCAAGCUGUACGCCAUGUCAGACAGAGAGAUGCAGGAGCUAAGAGAGUUCAUUGACAAGAACCUGAAGAGAGGGUUCAUCAGAGAGUCCAGGGCGGUGGGGGGCAGCCCAGUGUUUUUGUGGACAAAAAAACACGAACAAGCCGAGACUGGUGUGUGACUUCAGGGCCUUAAAUGCAGUGUCAGAACCAGUGGCCUUCCCGAUGCCCAGGAUUGACGACAUUUUGACAAGGGUGCGGAAGGGAAAGAUUUUUACCAAGCUGGAUCUAAGGGGGGCGUACAACCUGAUACGAAUAAGGAAGGGGGAUGAAUGGAAAACCACCAUGUUCACCCCUUUAGGGGCAUUUGAAUACUUAGUUAUGCCCUUCGGUCUACAAGCAGGCUCCGCAACAUUUCAAUCGUUUAUGAACCACGUCCUGGGGCCGUUGCUUUACAAGAAUUGUGUGGCCUUCUUAGACGACGUGUUGGUGUAUUCUGAGAAUGAGGAGCAGCAUGUGAGAGACGUCAGAGAAGUGUUGAGCAGGCUGCAAGCCAACCAGCUGUGGGUGAAACUGGAGAAGUGUCAGUUUCAUACCAAGGAGGUGGAAUUCCUGGGGUAUCGCCUGUCUGACAAGGGGUUGGCCAUGGAUCCCGACAAGGUCCAGGCGGUACUGGAAUGGAAAACACCCAAAACAAGGAAGGAUGUGCAGAGGUUUUUAGGGUUUGGGAACUUCUAUCGUAAGUUCAUCCCAAACUUUGCCCACCUGACGGCGCCCAUUACGGACUGUCUCAGCAGUAAGAAGAAGUUCGUUUGGACGGAGGAGGCGGAGCAAGCAUUUGAGGAACUAAAAGGGCCUUCGCCUCGGAACAACAGCUCCUGCAUGUGGAUUUACAAAAACCGAUGAGAGUGGAAACUGACGCAUCAGACAGAGCGGUUGGGGCGGUGCUUCUCCAGCCAGGGAAGGAGGAGUCAGAGUGGAGACCGUGUGCUUUUUUCGCGAAAGCUGAACAAAUCCGAGAGGAACUACACGGUGUAUGACCGAGAACUACUAGCCAUUCAUGAGGCGUUCCGGAGAUGGAGGCACCUGCUAAUUGGCGCACAACAUAAGGUGCAAGUGUGCACUGACCACAAGAACCUAGAGUAUUGGAGGACGGCACGAGUGCUCAACCAACGGCAAGUGAGAUGGGCCCAGGAAUUCUCCAAAUUUAACUUUGAGAUUUGUUACGUGCCAGGCCCAGAGAACAUUAGGGCGGACGCUCUCUCACGCAAACCUGAAUAUUGGGAGGGGAGGGAGCACCCGAAGAGAGACAUGUCAUUCCAGAGGACCGCUGGGUGUGUGGGGCGGCAUUGGUGGGACAAAGAGAACUGGUAGAAGAAACAGAGAAUGAUGAAUACGCCCAGAAUAAGCUCAGAGGUCUUAGGGAUGAGGGAGAGGAAUCAAGGGGUUUCGAGGAAAGAAAUGGAGCUUUGUAUUACAAAGGGGCACUGUAUAUCCCUGAAGGAGACUUAAGGGGAGGGUACUCAAGCAGUUGCAUGACAGCCCCACGGCGGGGCAUUUUGGGCAACACAAAACCAUGUGGUUGGUCACCAGGGAAUUUUGGUGGCCUAAGGUGAGGGAGGAUGUACGUGAGUAUGUAAGAGGGUGCGAGCAGUGCCAGCGAGCCAAAGGGGAAAGGCGGGCGCCGGCGGGGCUAUUAGAACCCUUACCAACACCAGAACGACCUUGGGAGGCAGUGUCGAUAGAUUUUAUGACUGAUCUGCCGAAGUCCAAAGGGAAAACAGCCAUCAUGGUGGUGGUAGACCUACUAACAAAGAUGUGCCACUUUGUAGCUUGCUCGCAUGCAGUCACGGCGGAAGAGACAGCGAAGUUAUUUGUAGAACACAUUUUUAGGUUGCACGGGGUGCCAUUGAGGGUGGUCUCAGACCGAGGAAAACAAUUUACUUCCAGGUUCUGGAGGAAGCUCAUGAGCUUACUGCAGGUGGAGGUCAACUUUUCGACUGCCCGGCACCCUGAAACCAACGGGCAGGCGGAAAGAGCAAACGGUGUCCUCCAGCAAUACCUGAGGUGUUAUGUCAAUGACAGAGAGAAUGACUGGGUAGAAAAGUUGGCGCUGGCGGAAUUUGCCUACAACAAUGCCGAGAAUGUGUCCACAGGGAUGAGCCCCUUCUUGGCUAAUUAUGGGUGUCAUCCCAGGGCUUUCCCAGGGGAGAAGGGGAGAGAUGGAGCGUACCGGCAGCCGAGCAUUUUGUAGAAGAAAUGGAAGCAAUCCACCGUCAGCUCCAACUCAACUUAGAAAGGGCGAAGGAAGAAUACAAGAGGCAGGCAGACAAGAACCGAAGGGAAGGUGAAACCAUAAGGGUUGGAGAUAGGGUGUGGCUGUCAACCCGAGGGUUGCCGUUCAAAGGAGGUUGUAAGAAAUUACGACCCAGGAGGUUGGGUCCCUUUGAGGUCAUUCAACAGGUCAACCCAGUGGCUUUCAGGCUCCGGUUACCCAACCACAUGAAACUGCACCCAGUAUUUCACAGGUCGUUACUGUCACCGUACGAGGGGGGACGAGAAGGGAUGGCCACUCGGGGACCGGUCAUAGAAGAAAGAGAAUGCAGCAGUCAUGUGGCAGAAAUCCUUGAUGCCAGGUGGAAGGGGAAUCAGGUGGAGUAUUUGGUAGCGUGGGAAGGAGAACCGGAGUCAGAAAACACGUGGGUAAUGGCCAAAGAUAUCAAUGACGAGGUAUUGAUAGAAAUGUUCCAUCAAAGGUUCCCGCGGAAACCUCAGCCUGUGGAGAGGUUCCGGAGGGAAUACUUUGGGACCACUGAGGAGGAGGAGGAGUUGGAAGGAUUCCCAGAAUCGGAAGGGGAAGGGAGAUGGACUCGGAGGAGGAGGAGUGCUUCGAGACCAGGAACCGCAACAGGUGGAGAGAAGUGUUCGAGACAUCGGAAGAUGAAGGAAGUUCAUUCCGGGGUUUUGCCUCCUCACCGCCCGUAGAGGAGGGGGCGAGAGGGGUUGAAGGGGGCCCUGGAGGGAGGUGGAUGUCAGGGAACAGCCAUCGGAAGGACGGGAGGUGAAAGGACUCAGACAGGAUGGAAGAGAUCCAGCAGCUGAAGAGGGAACCAGCAAGGGAGAGAAGCUGAACUGAGGGAGGUGAAAGGGCUCAGACAGGUUGGAAGAGACUCAGCAGCGGAACAGGAAACCAGUAGGGGAGAGAAGCUGAACUGAGGGAAAGGGAGCUGGGGGAUGGCUCAGAGAUACUUCCAGCGAAAACAGUGGUGAGGUUUCCGGACCUCCUGUAGCGACACCCACUCCUCGCCGGAAACUGUCACGCAGAGAGUCCAGAAGACGUGUUUCCGUUAAGGAGCUUUUAUGUUGGAAGCGAUUACGAAAGCAACCACUGUCGGAAUCUUCUAGUGACUAGAGGAGCCAUGUCAGAGGGGCUCAGUCACAGACAGAGGUUUGUGGACUUGAACAAACUCUGAGGNNNNNNNNNNNNNNNNNNNNNNNNNNNNNNNNNNNNNNNNNNNNNNNNNNNNNNNNNNNNNNNNNNNNNNNNNNNNNNNNNNNNNNNNNNNNNNNNNNNNGAAUCAAACUGCUCCACCCCUAGGACUUAUAUCUGCAUUUUGCAUUUGCUCUCAGAAUGGGUCUUUACCAUGAAUAUCUUUGUUCUUAAGGGUUCAGUUUUGUUUCAAACAUAUUUCAUGCCUUUGUGUUCUGUUUUAAAUAAUCCUAUGUGUAAUUUGCCUUGAUAUGGUUGUUUGGGAGGCAAUUAAUAAACCAAUGGUGAUAAUCAUAAUAAUACAUCUGGGAUGAGGCUGGCUUGAAGUCCAGUUUGUCUUUGUUUAGAAAUCAAGCACUGGGUUCAAGUGCACAUAUUUGAGCUUAACUGUUUUUCUUUUAUAUUCCAGACAUGAAAACACUUUCUGGAAUCUGAAAUGGAUUUUCCUGUGUGCUACAAUUAGUUCCGGCACAUGUAUUAUGACUUCAGGAGAUGGAUUUUUCUUGCUGCCUUUUGAUGAACAGCACAUUAUUGAGAAACUAAACAAAGUAAUAAAUUACAUUUAGCUGGUACAGUUUUUUCUCCAGCAAAAAUACAUUAUUUAUCUCCAUUUAAGAAUGUUUUAAAAUACAAAUGAGUUUCUAAAUCUUGUUUAAUUACUUCUGUUUUGCAAAGAGGCCCUUCUAAAGAGAACAGCUUAUUGCAAAAUAGAAGUUUAAAAAACACACUUUUAAGUUCAUUGAUUUUUUUUCAAUACUUGCUGAAUUUAGUGUUAUCUGUACAUGCUAAAUUAAUAAAUGCCUGUCCAUUCAUGUUCCCUAAAGAAAAAUGGUUAUGAUGGUCAGCAGGUGACAUUUAUAUGAACUUAAUAAAUGUAUUAAUUUUGUAAUCAUGGCGGCCUUGCAUAUUGUUAAAAGGUUUUGCUUUCCAGAAUAUGCUGUCCCUAACCAUACAUUGUAAAGAUUCAUACCUACUCCCUGGCUACGCUUUGAACACAGUCUGAGGACGUAUUAGUACCACUCUGCUCUGCCUUGGUCAGACCACACCUGGAAUACUGUGUCCAGUUCUAGGCGCCACAAGUUAAGGAGGACAUUGACAAGUUGGAAUGUGUGCAGAGGAGGGCAACCAAGAUGACCAAGGUCCUGGAAACCAAGCCUUAUGAGGAAUGGUUGAAGGAGUUGGGCAAGUUUAGCCUGGGGAAAAAGAGACCGAGAAGAGAUAUAAUAGCCCUUUAUAUAUUUGAAGAAGGCUAUCUCACGGAUGAUGGAGCAAGCUUGCUUUCUCCUGCUCUGGAGGGUAGGACUCGAACCCAUGGCUUCAAGCUACAAGAAAGGAGAUUCCGAUAGUGGGGGAGACACCUUGAUCAUGAAGGAGGUUUUCCCAAGGUGAGGAUCAUCCAUUGCACUAUGGGUGUGCUGACCCCUGCGAUUUCCCCAAAUGCGGGGAUUGCGUUUGCGUUUUCCUCUGAUAACUGGUAUGCAAAAAUAAAAACAGAAAUAAAAGUACUAGAAAAAAUACAGCUUUUUGCAAUUUUAAAAUAGAAUAGAAUAGAAUAGAAUAGAAUAGAAUAAAAUAAAGGAGAUUGCGACUAAAUGUCAGGAAGAACUUUCUGACAGUAAGAGCUGUUUUAAGUGGAGCAGUCUCCCUUGGGAGGUUGUGGACUCUCCUUCCUUAGAGGUUUUCAAGCAGAGGUUGGAUGGCCAUCUGCCAUGGAUGCUUCAGCUGAGAUCCCAUCAUUGCAGAGGGCUGAUCCCUUCCAGCUCUAUAAUUCUAUGAUUCCAGAAGCCGGCCCUUGUGAUCAAACUGGCCUGCAUUAUCCCUGCAAUGUAUAUGGCAAUCUUGCUAAAGAGCAGGAAUGGGGAACUUCAUACCCAGGGCCAAAUGCACCCCCACAAUCCUCUCUGGCUGGCCUCUAAGACUCUCCACAAACCUCUCUUACUGGCCCUUCUUUGUUCUCCCCUUGAGUGUUUGGGGCCAGGUGCAACGUAUCCUUGAACCACGACAAUAAUUCUUGCUUGCUGGAUGGAGAGUUGUUGGUGAGUGUGUGCAGAAACUAGCCUACUGUAUAAAAGCCAAGUUUUACUUUAUCUGCUCCCUUUUACCUCUGGCCCUGACACCUCUGGCCUGUGGCUUCUGGAAGGCUGCCCAGAAAUAAAUAAAUAAAUGUGGACCAGUAAUGAGGGCAAGUGACGUUGCGUUUCUUUUUUGCUUGCUUGCUUCUCCUCCCGGUGAAUUGUAACAAUUAAUAAUUAAGGGUUUCCUGGGGCAGAAGUCUGGCAUGAGCUGUUGUGUUUAUAUGUGCCGUGCUGCCUUGUGCUUGCUGUGGUGCUAGAAAGGUUGGCAGAAUCAGCCUGUAUUGGAGAUUCUGUAUGAGUGAGGUGCACAGAUGAGAGUGAGUGGACAUGUAAAGGUAAAGGGACCCCUGACUGUUAGGUCCAGUCACGGACGACUCUGGGGUUGCGGCGCUCAUCUCGCUUUAUUGGCCGAGCGAGCCGGCGUACAGCUUCCGGGUCAUGUGGCCAGCAUGACUAAGCCGCUUCUGGCGAACCAGAGCAGCGCACAGAAACGCCGUUUACCUUCCCGCCGGAGCGGUACCUAUUUAUCUACUUGCACUUUGACAUGCUUUUGAACUGCUAGGUUGCAGGAGCAGGGACCGAGCAAUGGGAGCUCACCCCGUUGCAGGGGUUUGGUGAAGCUGGCAGGGGGAAUAGGGAAAUUCCAAGAUCAAAUCAGAAGCCAGGAUGGCCUUGGUCCUAUAUACCUGAAGGAGCAUCUCCACUCCCAUCAUCCAGCCCGGACACUGAGGUCCAGCUCCGAGGGCCUUCUGGCAGUUCCCUCGCUGUGAGAAGUGAGGUUACAGGGAACCAGGCAGAGGGCCUUCUCAGUAGUGGUGCCUGCCCUGUGGAACGCCCUCCCAGCAGAUGUCAAGGCAAUACUUUUAAAAGACAACUGAAGGUGGCCUUGUUUAGGGAAGUUUUUAAUGUCUGACACUGUAUUGUUUUUAAUAUUUGGUUGGAAGCCGCCCAGAGUGGCUGGGGAAACCCAGGCAGAUGGGCGGGGUAUAAAUAAUAAAUUAUUAUUGUUAUUAUUAUUCAUCAUUCUAGGACUGUCUCAGGAAAAUAGAGACACUUAAUUGGAGGGUAUGUGUUAUGUGCAGCAACCCAAGGCAGCUUCAGUGAAAGCAAGGGGCUAACACUGAAUAACUUUUCAUCACAUAUCUAGAAAGCAGCCUGGCCAGUCGUCAGAUACUUGUUUUACAUUCUGAGCAAGAAAACUACUUCCUGACGAUGCUGUGCUCAGUUUGUUUUAUAGAUGGCAUUACCAGCUGAACAAAUUCAAAUUCCAAACUCGACGGUUACAAACUUUGACAAUGUCUCUAUCCUGAAAUCACUGCUGCUGAAAUGUGCACAUUCAUGCUUAAUUGGUUUCAUCAUUGCUUUUCUUUUGCUGUUGGAUCUUAGCAGACGAGGCCGAAGCCAACCGCAGUCUGCUUUGCUGAAGAUCAGAUACGAGCCACUUCUCCAGUGGAUGGGGAAUUGCAGAUGGGUUUUUCACAAACAUCUCAGGAAAAGGAAAGCAAACAUGUCACAUUAUAUUUAUGAAACUCUGAUAUCCCAAAGUGAAAGCUGCCGUUUCUUGCCAUUGUCACACAGCAAGCAAUGCCACUUAUGAGGCCUGUUUGAGAUUUCAAAGAUGCUUUGUAUCAUUAAUAAGCUAUGCAUCAUUCCCAGAUGGAAAAGCUACUGCUUUGAUGACCAGACUCACAGGUGAAUACAUUGUCAAUAACCAAAUAUGCUGAGGAACUCAAACUCUUCCAAGAAGUCAGCCAUAGUUUACAUAGUGAGAGCUGAGUGCAGUGCGAGGACCAAAGGUUGACAAACUACCCCAGAAGGAACACAAUGUAUCCCCCACCAGAUGUACUACCCAUCUCCUAACACCCCAUACACUCUCAGCUCUCACCUGUGGCUCCUAGAAGCUGUCAGCAUGUGACGGCAGCAACACCUUGGGAAUGGCUUCAACUGGCUGGCUAAACCAGGUGGGGGUAGUCAAUUGGUCUCAGUGAGUUAGGGCCUUCUCCUGCAAGAGCAGACAGGCUCCGGCAAAUUGAUCGGAUGAGACCAAUACAGUGGUACCUCGGGUUAAGAACUUAAUUUGUUCCGGAGGUCCAUUCUUAACCUGAAACUGUUCUUAACCUGAGGUACCACUUUAGCUAAUGGGGCCUCCUGCUGCUGCCGCGCCGCCGGAGCACGAUUUCUGUUCUCAUCCUGAAGCAAAGUUCUUAACCCAAGGUACUAUUUCUGGGUUAGCGGAGUCUGUAACUUGAAUCUGUAACCUGAAGUGUCUGUAACCCAAGGUACCACUGUAGUGGGUCUAAUGGACAAGAAGGUGGUUUCUGCACAUGCUGUAGAGGGGGCAGAUGGGGGAAGGCAACCCUUCUAGGAGAAGGAUCCUAAACUUCCGCUGCCUUGUAAGAUAUCUUUGGGAGAUAAAAAGGUUAAGGAGUAAACCCUACACAAAUCCAGAGUGGAGCCCCAAGGAUAGCUGGAUGGCACCUUGCAUGGCUCCUUCUGGCAAGUCUUGCGGCCAAGCACGUGCCAGAUGUAUUGCUCUGCUUUCCUUUGGACCACAUCAGUGAAGCUGAGAGGGGGGCCUUUCUGUCAGGGCAGCCCAGGACCUCCAUACACAAUGUCCAGGCUUGGACCCUGGGGAGGUCACAGGUGCUGCUAACACAGAAGUUUAACUUCACCCCCGGAGGUGCAAUCCAUUGUCUGAAACAGUGCUGGAUUUACAUAUAAGCUAAAUAAGCUAUAGCUUAGGGCCCCAAUCUCUUGGGGGCCCCAAAAAAAUUUUAAGGAAAAAAACCCUGGACGUACAUUUCCAAAAUAUAAGAUAAAAAGAAAUGAAAUAAAACCUACAUACAGCAACAGUGUUUUGUGUUGUGUAGGCUCCUAUGAUGUAAGUAAUGGGCCCAGCCUGCUAGCCUACUCCAUAAAAUAUCACUGGUUUUCUCAUUUCUAUAUAUAGGGUGCCUACAUUCUGCAUGUGCAAAUGGCUUUAGAUACCUAUUAGAUCCAUAAAUUACCAUAUAGCAUAUAUUCAACACCAAAACCAGCGACAAUUUGUUGUUGACAAAGGACAGCUGGACAUAUAAAGGACCCCAUUACCUUCAGUAGCUUAGGGCCUCAUCAAACCUAAAUCUGACCCUGAUUGUCUCUCAAGGUUGACAGAUGCCUACAAGUUUACAUAGUCUACUCUACAAGAGAGUAUGGGUGGUAUCCAACUGAUGCAUCUCAACAGUGCAAGGAUUUCCACUUGUGACACAUGACUUUCCUCCCUCCUUCACCAAUGCACAUCCCAUACCCUCCCCAAAUCUGCUCCAGAGAAUUUGAGGAAUGCCUAAAUCUGUUCUAGGGGAUGCAUGAUGGGGAAGAAGUGUGGAGAAGUCCCACUGUGGAUGCAGAAAUCCUUGCAUUGAUGGAAGGCAUUACAGUGGUACCUCGGGUUAAGUACUUAAUUCGUUCUGGAGGUCUGUUCUUAACCUGAAACUGUUCUUAACCUGAGACACCACUUUAGCUAAUGGGGCCUCCCGCUGCCGCUGCGCUGCCACCACAUGAUUUCUGUUCUCAUCCUGAAGCAAAGUUCUUAACCUGAGGUACUAUUUCUGGGUUAGCGGAGUCUGUAACCUGAAGUGUCUGUAACCUGAGGUACCACUGUACUUAGUAGUACUUUGCACUGUUUUAGAUACUAAGCGAGGCCUCGUGGUGGAAGAAGACAUACAUUGCAUACUAAAGGUUGAACAUUUAGUCCCUGAUCCUUCCAGUUAAAUAAACCUUAGGUAGCAGGGUGAUAUAGAUCAGUUUAUAUGAUACAAUUAUUCAGUGCAUUUGUUUAUUUUGCAGUAUGUAUUGGAGAGAAGGACAAAUACUUGCUGAAGGCAUAGUCCUGCAUGAGAACUGAUCAGUUGAAGAAAGAGUCAGUUACAAAGGAGGUUGACACACUCAUAGACACUCAAACCUUGCAAUAUGGCACUUUGCAUAGCAAUGCUUCUGUGUGCCUUCACCUUCAUUUCAAGGGAGCUCAUGCAGUGAGAGCUGGACCAUAAAGAAGGCUGAUCGCCGAAGAAUUGAUUCUUUUGAAUUAUGGUGCUGGAGGAGACUCUUGAGAGUCCCAUGGACUGCAAGAAGAUCAAACGUAUCCAUUCUUAAGGAAAUCAGCCCUGAGUGCUCACUGGAAGGACAGAUCGUGAAGCUGAGGCUCCAAUACUUUGGCCACCUCAUGAGAAGAGAAGACUCCUGGAAAAGACCCUGAUGUUGGGAAAGAUGGAGGGCACAAGGAGAAGGGGACGACAGAGGACGAGAUGGUUGGACAGUGUUCUCGAAGCUACCAACAUGAGUCUGACCAAACUGCGGGAGGCAGUGGAAGACAGGAGUGCCGGGCGUGCUCUGGUCCAUGGGGUUACGAAGAGUUGGACACGACUAAACGACUAAACAACAACAACAACAUGCAGGAAAACUUCCCCGUGAAUCCUUUGUCAUAAUAUCCAUUGCAAAAUACGUAGUAAUAAUUUAUGUGCUGGUAGUUGAAGUGCUAAAGGUUUGGUCCCCCUCCCAAAAAAAGUUCAAGCUUCUCUUUUCUUCCUGCAUCCAGAUAAAGACUAAUUACUUCAGCUGGUAUUCUGCUCCACUGAAUUAAGGUGAGACAGCUGAAUUAUUGAAUCACAUUGUUAUUGACUUAGCAGGUCAAAGAAUUAAAAAAAAAACUUUGCACCUUAUUCUGUUUAUGUGUUAGCUAACCUUGCUAGCUUUCUCAUUUUUCAAAUGUGGAAUGAACAUUGCCAAGCGCAAUUAAUUUGAAACAGAGCUGGAAGCAUCCUCCAACACUCAUCCACUUGUAUCGUCCGGGGUAUUUCAAAGACAUUGCUGUUAUUCAGCUGAGAAAUGGUUCGGUUAGAUGGAUUUUUAAAACAGCACGCUGCUAUUAAGUAGACAACGUGUGAAACUUGCAGGAGCCUUUUUUGAAUGUCUUCUACUUAGGUUUCAUGAAACGAAUGUUUAGAUAAUUAACUUGAUGCUGAUAAUCAACUUACUCUUUUCUGGAGAGGAAAAUAAAAACCCCAAACCCAACUCUAUUUUGUAAACUGGGCAAAAAUUAAAGAAUGUGAAACACAAUUAAUUUUUUGGCCACUUAUUGGUUAUGUGCUCACAGGGUGCUUUAGAAACCUUUGGCCCUCCAGAUAUUUUGGACUGCAAUUCCCAUCAUUCCUGAUCACUGGUCCUUUAGUGAGGGAUCAUGGGAGUUGUAGGCCAAAACAUCUGGAGGGCUGCAGGUUGGGGGUGCCUGCUAUAGACAAUUUUAUCUAACCAUUUCCUUUAGGUCUCCUUUGCAAACGAGAGAAUGGGUGGCUGGGGUUAUUGGGACGGGCUUCAGAUUUUUGAUUUUGAAGUUAUCAUAUUGGGGUUUGUGUACUAAAACUCAGUAUAGAAUAAUAAAACAAAACAAAGAACUAGGAAAAUGGCAUAGCUCAAUGGUAGAAGAAUUCAUUUUCCACCAGACAGUUGCUGGCCUCUCCAGUUGAGGUUUGGUAGCAGGUGAUGUGAAAGACCUCUGCCUGGGAACCUGGAGAACUGUUGCAGUCAGAAAAGGCAAUGCUAAGACAAAUAGACAAAGAGUUACCAGAGAGUAACUUGGCAUAAAGCAGUUUACUGUAAUCUUAUGAACACAAUCUGUCUUCUAGUGUUGAGAACCUGGCAGAUU